AGCGAACGCUGGCGGCAUGCUUAACACAUGCAAGUCUCACGGGCAGCGAUGUCAGUGGCGGACGGGUGAGUAACGCGUAGGUAUCUAUCCUUGGGUGGGGGACAACCGUGGGAAACUACGGCUAAUACCGCAUGACGACUGAGGUCCAAAGCAGCGAUGCGCCUGGGGAGGAGCCUGCGUACGAUUAGCUAGUUGGUGGGGUAAGAGCCUACCAAGGCGAUGAUCGUUAGCUGGUCUGAGAGGAUGAUCAGCCACACUGGGACUGAGACACGGCCCA
rnacentral:rRNA from 1 species